AUGGGGAAUUUGAAAGACGAAAGAACUAAGAUUUUUCCCUCAACUACGAGGGGAGGUAAGGAACUGCCAUCUUGCUCCGCACUUGAUUCUCCUUCUAUUUUGAGUAAACUUGUGACACCUACACCUGCUAUUAAUUCCAAUAUGUCGCAUGUUAUUGAUGAUGCCACUUCUGCUUUGCAUGAUACUUAUGAUGAAACUACUUAUGUGCUUGAUAAUACUGUGCCACUAGGUGAAUUUCUUGAUGAACAACUUGCUAGGGUUAGAGAGAAUGAAAUUACUGAAACUGAUGAUAUUAUUGAAGAUGAUGAUUAUGAUUCUCCCCCUAGAUAUGAAUUGCCUAUUAUACCUGAAGGUUAUGUUAUGGAUGAAGAAGCUGCUAGAGACUUCUUUGCUUGCAAUGAUAGAGAGGAUCUUAAGAAAUUGUUAGCUAAGCUGAAAGAAAAAAAAUCCUUGAAUGCUAGAAUGAAAUAUGAUUCCGCUUUUGCUACUUCACCUAUUUUUGUUACUGAUAAGGAUUAUGAAUUAUCUGUCGAUCCUGAUUUAAUUACUUUGGUUGAAUAUGAUCCUUUUCAUGGUUAUGAAUCUGAAACUGUUGUGGCACAUCUUACUAAAUUGAAUGAUAUAGCCACCCUAUUUGCUCAUGAGGAAAAAAUUCGCUCUUACUAUAUUCUUAAGUUGUUUUCUUUCUCGUUAAAGGGUGAUGCUAAGUUAUGGUUUAAUUCUCUUGCUCCUGGUUGUGUGCGUAGUCCCCAGGAUAUG
rnacentral:rRNA from 1 species